UACGUAGGGUGCGAGCGUUAAUCGGAAUUACUGGGCGUAAAGCGUGCGCAGGCGGUCUGUUAAGACAGAUGUGAAAUCCCCGGGCUUAACCUGGGAACUGCAUUUGUGACUGGCAGGCUAGAGUAUGGCAGAGGGGGGUAGAAUUCCACGUGUAGCAGUGAAAUGCGUAGAGAUGUGGAGGAACACCGAUGGCGAAGGCAGCCCCCUGGGUCAAGAUUGACGCUCAUGCACGAAAGCGUGGGGAGCAACAGGAU
rnacentral:rRNA from 1 species